GAUGAACGCUGGCGGCGUGCCUAAUACAUGCAAGUCGAGCGAAUGGAUUAAGAGCUUGCUCUUAUGAAGUUAGCGGCGGACGGGUGAGUAACGCGUGGGUAACCUGCCCAUAGGACUGGGAUAACUCCGGGAAACCGGGGCUAAUACCGGAUAACAUUUUGAACCGCAUGGUUCGAAAUUGAAAGGCGGCUUCGGCUGUCACUUAUGGAUGGACUCGCGUCGCAUUAGCUAGUUGGUGAGGUAACGGCUCACCAAGGCAACGAUGCGUAGCCGACCUGAGAGGGUGAUCGGCCACACUGGGACUGAGACACGGCCCAGACUCCUACGGGAGGCAGCAGUAGGGAAUCUUCCGCAAUGGACGAAAGUCUGACGGAGCAACGCCGCGUGAGUGAUGAAGGCUUUCGGGUCGUAAAACUCUGUUGUUAGGGAAGAACAAGUGCUAGUUGAAUAAGCUGGCACCUUGACGGUACCUAACCAGAAAGCCACGGCUAACUACGUGCCAGCCGCCGCUGUAA
rnacentral:rRNA from 1 species